CAAGAGGCAUCUUAACACCAUGUACCAACUUACUGGAACGUGGCUUCAUUGCCACUGGCACAAACCCGCUUCAGACCCGCCAGCGUGAACUGACAGCACUUAGUCAUUAUUCAUAAUCUAAGUACACCGAAAUGGCACGUUGCCGCUGAGAGACACGAUCACACGAGCCGCCCGUGUAUAGCGAGGCCUGUGCCGGAUUGUUUACGGCAAGGCGCCAGAGAGAGAAGCGGGUUACCCGAACCCAUUAGAUUUGUACUCAUUCUUCUCCCCCACUAUCCUAUUAGAGCAAUCGACAUUUAAAGGCUGUCACAGCCGUAUUCUUCCACUUAGACACGGUCGCAGUCGCCAUCGCAGGUGCGGUUUACGGUGAAACGCCGACGUGAAACGGACGUGAAACGACGUAGGGAAACGGAGCAGGCUACGUACAGCUAGCCUAUUGCCACCUCCUCUCAGCCAAACGCGACCGACACUAAAACGUAGACUACGCCGACAUCUGACAGCAGGCUAACAAGUCAAAACACUAACCAUAACUUCUGCUUUGACAUUCUUCUGAGGUGCAGGUAUAUUCAGCAAACUUCUGCUGCUAGCUAGCCUGAAGCUACCUGUACACUAAGCCAUGCACACUCUUGGCCUUGGUUAUGAUGGUAACGUUCACCGCCGAUUGUUUCGAGACAAGUACCUAAAACAGGAAUAAUUUGGAGCAUUUUGAUUUGAGACACGGGAGAUUAUAAUAUACUUUAUAAUACGCGUUAUAAUCAUAUUUAUCAGGAACAAGAAACUAGUUAGCUAGAGGUAGCUAGCUAGCGAGCCCUGCGAUGCUAUCCACGUGUGUAGUCUGAACGACGAACCGGUUGUUUAUAUACGACUAAAUCAUGUAUUAUAUGGCCACAGAAGUCAUAUAACCCAGGCCACUGGCGAUCGCACGCGUAAACCUACAGCUAACAGAGCCAUCUUCUUUUACUGUGUAAGAACUGGAAUCAAACCUGCCUAUUAGUUUCCGAGGUUUAGAGAACGACAACACAGAACAAGAAGCUUCCGGGCAUCAGAGACGAGAAAUAGUUGGCCAACUAUUCACUAUCGCUGGAACAGGCGCACAUCUCAGACCGCCAACACAGCCCUACAGCGCGAGCCUCGCUUGAUGCCGGAGGGACGCUCGCGGUUUCAAUGCCAUCUGAUGCCGAGGACGUCCCCGUGCGAGUCAGACGAUGAAAAGGGCCAUCAGCAGAGAGGACUGUUUUAUUUCUAAA
ensembl:lncRNA